rnacentral:rRNA from 1 species
GACGAACGCUGGCGGCGUGCUUAACACAUGCAAGUCGAGCGGAAGGACGCGGCUUUUGUUUGUUGCUCGAUUGGCGAAGAGGGGAGUAACACGUGAGUAACCUCCCCUUGACUUUCUGAUAACUUCACGAAACUGCGGCGCAUACCGCGUAUGAGCUCCUGCUGCGUGUGGUUGGUUGGAAAGAUUCGGCGGUGGGGGAUGGACUCGCGGCUUAUCAGCUGCUUGGGCGGGUAGUUGCGUACCAAGCCUGUGACGGCUAGCCGGCCUGGGAGGGUUACCGGCCACAUUGGGACUGCGAUACGGAGCAGAAUCCUACGUGAGGCAGUAGUCGGGAACAUGGCACAAUGGGCGGACGUCUGAUGUAGCAACGCCGCGUGCGGGAUGCCGUCUUUUGGGUGGUAAACCGAUUUCGCAGGUGCUGUAGCGUGAGUGACGGUACCGGGUAAAGAAGCCACGGCUAACUACGUG